UGACCCUGCGGAGGGACAAUCAGUCGUCGUACGGUGCUUGGUAUGGCUAAGGUUUCGCCGGUCUUAAAGUCAGCGCCUCAUCUGACCCGUCUUGAAACACGGACCAAGGAGUGUAGCGUUUGCGCAAGUCUUAGAGUGUAUCGAAACUUUGAGGCGUAACGAAAGUAAAUGCAGUUUAAUCUGCUGACUUGGGAUGCGUUGUCUCUUGUGGACGGCGCUGGACCAAGGUUUUAUCGCGAUCGCUUGCGGUGCGGUGAAAAUAGAGCGUAAACGGUGCGACCCGAAAGAUGGUGAACUAUGCCUGAGCAGGAUGAAGCCGGAGGAAACUCUGGUGGAAGUCCGAAGCGGUUCUGACGUGCAAAUCGAUCGUCUGACUUGGGUAUAGGGGCGAAAGACUAAUCGAACCAUCUAGUAGCUGGUUUCCUCUGAAGUUUCCCUCAGGAUAGCUGGAACUCGUGCACUAGUUAUAUCCGGUAAAGCGAAUGAUUAGAGGCCUUUGGGACGAUAAGACCUAAACCUAUUCUCAAACUUUUAAUGGGUAUGAUGAUGCAGUUACUUAAGUGAACUGUGUCUCUGCGAAUAAGAGCUCCAAGUGGGCCAUUUUUGGUAAGCAGAACUGGCGCUGCGGGAUGAACCGAACGCGGAGAUAAGGUGCCUAACUUUCCGCUCAUUAGAACCCAUGAAAGGUGUUGGUUGAUAUAGACAGCAGGACGGUGGCCAUGGAAGUCGGAAUCCGCUAAGGAGUGUGUAACAACUCACCUGCCGAAUCAACUAGCCCUGAAAAUGGAUGGCGCUUGAGCGGGAGACCUAUACUCUGCCGUUAGUCGUGAAGCCUUCGGGCGGCGCUAACGAGUAAGAGGACGUCGUGAUUUUGCUUUGAAGGUUUGGGCGUGAGCCUGACUGGAGCAGUCACGAGUGCAGAUCUUGGUAGUAGUAGCAAAUAUUUAAGUGAGAUCCUUAAAGACUGAAGUGGAGAAGGGUUUUGCGUGAACAGUAGUUGAACGCAAGUUAGUCGAUCCUAAGACAAGGGCUAACGCCGUGUUUGCUCAAAAGGAGCGUCUCGUCUUUGCUUUUCGAAGCGAGGAUUCAACGAAGCGCUCAUCUGUCGAAAGGGAAGCAGGUUAAUAUUCCUGCACCAGGACACGGAGAUUGCGGCUUGCCUUCGGGCUCGUCGUUUUAGCGCGGUAACGCAAACGAACUCGAUGACGUUGCACGUGACCUGAGCUAGAGUUUUCUUCUCUAGUUGAAAAGUCUGAUUCCUGGAAUUGAUUCGGUUGGAGAUAGGAAUGAUUGACUUUGCACAAGCAGCGCGGAUACUGCGUUGUCUCAUGCGUUGCGUGCGAUACGUGAAAAAUCGAGGGAGGCUAUUUGAAUUUCGUGCCUGAUCGUACCCAUAUCCGCAGCAGGUCUCCAAGGUGUGCAGCCUCUAGUCGAUAGAAUAAUGUAGGUAAGGGAAGUCGGCAAAUUAGAUCCGUAACUUUGGGAAAAGGAUUGGCUCUAAAGAUUGGUCGUUUCGGGGCUCGAUGCGAAGCCGAGCGAUUCUGCUAAAUGUGCGUUCUGCCUCGGUGGUACGUGCGUUUCGGCUAGUGAUUGCUUGGUGGACUGUUGGGUCUGUGCGUCUUCGUUUCGGCGUUGGCGUUUUCGGGCGGCGCUUGACAAUCGUCUUAGAACUGGAACGGACUCGGGGAAUCCGACUGUCUAAUUAAAACAGAGGAGACAGAUGGUGCUUGAUGCGUGUUAACUGUCUCUGAUUUCUGCCCAGUGCUCUGAAUGUCAAAGUGAGGUAACUCGACCAAGCGCGGGUAAACGGCGGGAGUAACUAUGACUCUCUUAAGGUAGCCAAAUGCCUCGUCCUCUAAUUAGGGACGCGCAUGAAUGGAUUAACGAGAUUCCCACUGUCCCUAUCUACUAUCUAGCGAAACUACAGCCAAGGGAACGGGCUUGGCGAAAACAGCGGGGAAAGAAGACCCUGUUGAGCUUGACUCUAGUUCGACUCUGUGAUGAGUCUUGAGAGGUGUAGCAUAAGUGGGAGAUCUUCGGAUCGCCAGUGAAAUACCACUACUUUCAACGAUUUUUUACUUACUCGAUUAGACGACGCCUUUAUGUGUUUUGGGUUUAAGCGUUGGCACUUGGUGCCGGCGUGAGUCGCGUCGAGAAAAAAGUCAGACGGGGAGUUUGACUGGGGCGGUACAUCUAUCAAAUCGUAACGUAGGUGUCCUAAGGCUGGCUCAGAGAGGUUGGAAACCUUUCGUAGAGUAAAAGGGCAAAAGCGAGCUUGAUCUAGAUUUUCAGUACGAAUACAGACCGUGAAAGCGUGGCCUAUCGAUCCUUUUGAUUUGAAAAGUUUUCAGUAAGAGGUGUCAGAAAAGUUACCACAGGGAUAACUGGCUUGUGGCAGCCAAGCGUCCAUAGCGACGUUGC
rnacentral:rRNA from 1 species